rnacentral:rRNA from 1 species
UAGGGAAUAAUAGAAAUGGACGAAAGUCUGAUCUAGCAACACCGCGUGUGUGAAGAAGGCCUUCGGGUUGUAAAGCACUUUUUGGAAGGAUUAGGAAGGAAUGUACUUCCAGAAUAAGUCUCGGCUAACUACGUGCCAGCAGCCGCGGUAACACGUAGGAGGCAAACGUUAUCCGGAUUUACUGGGCGUAAAGCGCGUGUAGGUGGUUCUGUAAGUAGGGCGUGAAAGCUCCUGGCUCAACUGGGAGAGGCCGUUCUAAACUGCAGAGCUAGAGGAUGGUAGAGGGAGGUGGAAUUCCGGGUGUAGCGGUGGAAUGCGCAGAUAUCCGGAGGAACACCAGUGGCGAAAGCGGCCUCCUGGACCAUUCCUGACGCUCAGACGCGAAAGCUAGGGUAGCAAACGG